rnacentral:rRNA from 1 species
UACCUACGGGGCGCAGCAGUGAGGAAUAUUGGUCAAUGGGCGAGAGCCUGAACCAGCCAAGUCGCGUGAAGGAUGACGGCCCUACGGGUUGUAAACUUCUUUUGUCAGGGAGCAAUUGGGUCCACGCGUGGGCUUAGCGAGAGUACCUGAAGAAAAAGCAUCGGCUAACUCCGUGCCAGCAGCCGCGGUAAUACGUAGGGGGCAAGCGUUAUCCGGAUUUACUGGGUGUAAAGGGAGCGUAGACGGCAGUGCAAGUCUGAAGUGAAAGCCCCGGGCUUAACCCGGGAACUGCUUUGGAAACUGUA